rnacentral:lncRNA from 1 species
UCUUCAACAUAAAAAUAAUCAAAAAAAACCUUACAUGGCAUCUGUGCCUUUUGUGAGAACUAUGCUGCCUGUUUCUGACUAAUUAAUGGAUUCUCACUGGAAGCGACAGAUAAGCCAACCUGUCACAGGAGCAGCCCCGGCUCUCCCUUCCUCCUUCUGCAGGUCCCACACUUCAGAAGACACAGGGCUGUGAUUUGUGGCCCAGGUGGAGGCCCUGGUGCCCCGCUCCUCCUCUUUGGUUCUGUUUAUUUAUUGGUUUAGGCUGCUCUUUUUCAGAUUUUCUUCUUAUAUCCUUGAAUUUGUUUAUAAGGCCUUCAAAGGCAAGGUGACUCCAAUGUUUGUCUCUGUGGGCACGUGGUCACACAUUACUGUUUUUUUCCUCUUGAUUUCUGCCUCCCCGACCUCCGUAAAAUCUGAAUCCAGGGGAACCAGGCUUCAAUACUUGAGUGGCUGGCAUUUCUAUAUAUGGUCAGGUGAAUAAAGCACACACCAAUAUGUGUUUUUUCUUCCACCGGGCACAGUGGUCACACUUAAAAUCCCAGCACUCAGGAAAUCAGUGGUUUAAGGUCCCACUCAUCCCCUAUUACAUAGUGAGUUCAAGGUCAGCCUGGGAUACAUUUCCAUCCAUAAGUUAGUCUUUAUAUCUCUUGAUAAGCAAGGCUCGCCUCUCCUAAAAGCAUUGAGAAAUUAAAAAGUUCUCUGGAAUGUUCUAUCCUUAUGCUACCAGAUUCCCCUCGGCUUUCAUUCUCUACCCACUUCCCCCUCCCAGGUCCUUCUGGGUAUCUCACCCAAUGAAGCUGAAAAAAAAUAAUAUCCCCUAGAAUGAGAAAUUAUAUUUGGUUUAAUCAAGCUUCACUAAUAUCAAUUCGGAAGCUUUCUCUCUGCUCCAUUUAUUUAAAAGCAAUAUUUAUGGAAUUGAGCCUGGGCAUCUUAGCCCUAGCUAAGAGGUUUUAGAUGUGUAUUUUAAUGUAGAUUAAAAAAAAUACUCAAUUGCUCUCCACCAUGUUUUUAAAAUUUACUUUCUCUCUUUCUCCCUCCCUAAAUAUGAACAAGCCUCCGUCCCCCUUGUGUGUGUGUGUGUGUAUACAUGUGAUGGCUGUGUGUGGAGGUCAGAAGACAGCUUUCUGAAGUCCGUUCUCUUUCUCUUCGGUAGGAUCUUGGGACUCAGCUCAGGUCUUUCAGCUUGAGCUGAGCAUGCUUUUACAGGUUCUAGCCUUUCUCCAGUCCUGACUUUACCUUUGAGACAGGGUCUUUCAUCAGGCUUGCUGAUUGGCUGAUUGGCAGACCAUAGGCCUCUGGGAUUGCCCUGCUGCUGCUCCCCCUGUACGGACACUGCAUAUGCUGUUUUGGGUACCAAGGAUCCAGUACUCAUGCUUAAAAAUCAAGUACGUUACUAACUGAGCUGUCUCCCUGCCUGUGAGGGUUAGUUUCUUUGUUUUUGUUUUUGUUUUCAAUUGUAAAGGAAGGGCUAUAAAUUCUGAAUGCCGGGAUGAACACUUAGAGGCCCAUGAUUUGCUUAAAUAUAUGCACGCGCGCACGCACACACACACACACACACACACACACAUCUGAACUAUUUCUAUGAAGAACAGAACUAUUUUAAAGUGCUUUCUCCAUUGACACCCGAGCUGAAGAGCAAUUUCAUAGCAUAAUUAUAACGCAUCACAUAAACUGGCUAAGCUUUUGUUCUCGCUGUGAUCGCACUCAAGAGAGUUCCUUUUUUCACCUCCCCUUCCCACCUUGACUGAAUUAAGAAUAUCCAAACUUUAAGGCUGUUCUUCCUCUAGAGAAUAAAAAUGAUGCUCUAAAAUGAAGUGCCUAAGAAGUAAUGGGUGGGAGAGAAUUUCUUGGUCCAUGACUCACUCCAUUAUUAUGGGAAAGGGUAGUUUUUAAAACUGUUCUUAAGAACUCUGCUGAGGCUAACACAGGGGUGGGGGGGGGAGCCAGGAGGAGAGAACUAUGUGUACCAAAGUCCUGGAUAGAGGACGGGUGCUCAUUUGUCAAUGCCCCUGGGCACCUCCUGAGCCCUUAGCUCCGGUUUGCUUGUCAAGGAGGUAGAACAGAUGAUAACUACAUUUUACUAUACAAGACUUGAAUAUUUGGGGCAUGCAAAGAUGGUUUGAAACCAAAUACCAGAUAGGCAUUUUAUGGUACUUUGGGAAAUAAAACAACAACAGCAGCAGCAACAACAAAAAAUCCCCAAACCAACCAACAACCAACCAACCAACCAACCAACCAACCAACCAAAAACCCACAAAGGCCCUUUGGACUUAAUGUUUAGGUAAUUAGGAUAAAGAGUUUUAGAAUGGUAAAACCUCAAAGGCACUGUCUUGAUUUUUCUGUAAAUGAAAGUGCUGUUUAAUGAUCUGGUUAUAAGGAUUGCAUACAAAUGGCAUCAGGACUGGAUGUGGUGGCACAUGUCUUGUAUCACAGCACUUGGUGAACAGAGGCAGGGGAAUCUCUUUGAGUUACAGGCUAGCCAGCAUGACACGGUGAGACUCUGUCUUAAACAAACAAACAAACAAAAAAACAAACAAAGGUAGCAUAAGAGUGAUCAUGGGCAUCAAAGUUACCCCCAUAGGAAGUGUUCCUCAUCAUGAUGAAUGAUUAAUAUUAAAUAAUGUGUUUGUAGGAGUGAUGACAUUUUUUUCUGACCACAUGAGUAUACAUAACCAAAAGGUUAUUAUGGAAAUAACAUAACAAUUAUUCCUUGUCUGUUUCAUGUUUUCGUUUGUAGUUUUUAUUGUGUGUAGUGCUGGGGCGGAACCAAAGCCACAUUUGCUAAGCAAGCACUUUGUCUCUGAGCCACAUUCAAUAUCAAUUUUAUUUUGCUUUUUCAUUUUGACACAGGAACCACUAUGUAGCUCAGGCUGGCCUUGAACUUGUGAUCCUUUUGUCUCAGCCUCUCCUACGGGGAGUAUAGGUGUGUACCAUUGUGCCUGACUGAGGCAUGUUUGGAAGACACUUGGAAUAUCAAGACUGCCAACUUGGAUGUUCAGAAAAGUGUGGUAUGUAUGUACAGUGCCAUUUUAUUGGGCUCCCCAAAGGAACCAACUCAUGGAUGGAACUAUAAAUAAUUAUAUCAAUUAUUAAUCCAAUGUCAGAAAGACAUGCAGCACAUGGAGUCUUCUUAUCUGUACUUUUGUACUUCUUAUAUUUUAUAUAGAUGCAUAAAUUAAUCUAUGUAUGUAUGACAUUUGAAGGUUUGAAUGAGAAUGGGCCCUGUAGACUCAUAUAUUUGAAUGCUUGGACCCUAGUUGGUGGAACUGUUUGGGAAGGACUAUGAGAUGCAGCCUUGUUGGCGGAAGAGUGUUACUGAGGGUGAGCUUGAAGUCUCAAAAGCCCAGCCUAUUUGCAGCUAGCUCUCCCUGCCUUGUGCUUGCAGAUCAGGAUGUAGCUCUUGGCUAUAGUAUCAGUGCAGCCCCUACCGGCUGCUAUGCGUCUCUCCAUAAUGGGUGUGGACUCUAACCCUUUAGAAGUGUGGGUCCCCAGUAAGCUCUUUCUCCUAUAAGUUGCCUAGGUCAUGGUGUCUCAUCACAGCAAUAUAAAAGUAGGUCAAAGUAAAUCUGUUUAGGGACAAAGACAUGUAGCAGAAGGGGAGAAGAGUGAGAAGGAUACACACACACAGAGACAGAGAGACAGAGAUAGAAAGAGAAGGAAGAGGAAGGGGAAGGGAGAAGGAGGAGGAGGAAGAGGAGGAAGAGGAAGAGAAGGAAAGG